AUUGACAAUAAAAAUGACAACUGUUUGCUUCACUAUAAACGGACUAGAAUUAGAGAAGUUUUACGGUACAGUAGUGGAUCAAUAAACAAAAUAGACUUGGUUCGAUAUAAAAAUGUAGUCAGAAACUAGUUCGCUAACGCAUGGGGUCAGCCUAGUUAAAGGAAUCAACCACAAAAGAAGACACAGGAAAUACUUGGGUGACAGGUAUCAUUGAAACUUCCACAUGCGUCCAAAUUCAUCUGACACUUUUCUAAAUGUAUUCAAACAAAAAUCUUUUCUUGACCGUCACUGCGUAUAAACUCGGCGCCGGACUUGGGCUCAGAUAGAGAUCAAGACGGAGAUCCGGCACAAAAUUAAGACAAAUGAUGAGUUCUUGUGUUCAUUCUUUCGAGCAUGAUGCUCUUAUCUCUGGUUAUGGACAUUUUUCACAAGCUAUGGUGGACUCCAAUGCGCAUACAGAGUUUGAUGGCUUCUCAGGGAAUCAAAGGCCCUUCUUACAGAUUCAUCCAUGGAAACGCCAAAGAAAUCUCCAAUAUGGGAAAGGAAGCCAUGAGCAGGCCAAUUAAUUUGUCACAUGACAUAUUGUCUGCUGUUCAACCUCAUUUUCACUCAUGGAGCAAGAUAUAUGGAACUGUUUUUCUGCAACGGCAUGGUCCUCAAGCUCAGUUGGUGAUUAUGGAACCUGACUUGUGCAAACAGUUACUGAAUAACAAAGAGAGAGCCUAUGUGAAAAGAGAACCCUUCCCCUAUGUAAGGAAGCUAGUUGGAGGUAGCGUUGGAAUAACAGAGGAUUCUGAAAAAUGGGCAAAACUGAGAAAGCUGUCCAACUAUGCCUUCCAUGGAGAGAGCUUAAAAUUUCAAAUUUUGAGGGAACGAAGAGAGAGAAGGUCUGGUUCUGGGGCGAUAGAGAGAGAACGAAGAGAGACAAGCUUGCAAUGGAGAGAGAAGCAAUCUUGCUCUAGAUUUGAACCUUGCUGCAGCUCGGUUUGAAUUCUUUCUUCGAUUUCAAUUCCGUUUGUUUUUUUUUUAUCCAAGUUUGCUUUUCAUCUCGAUUGAAUUUAAGUUUGAUUUUGAAUCUGAGUUUGUUUUCCUGUACAGUUUGUUAUUUUCGAAUCAUUGUGCUACUUAAGUUUGACCUAUGUUUUGUGAAAUUUUGAGCUUUGAUUUGGUUCGAUUUGCUAUUUUUCUUGAUUAUAAGUUUGUUGUGCUAAGUUUGAUCUGGUUCGUUGUGCUAAGUCUGUAUGAUUAUGUUUUGAAACAGUUCGAUUCAUUUUGUGUGAUUUUUAUUCUACAUUUUGAUGAAUUGUUGUUCACUGAUCUAUUUUCUAUGUUCGAGUGAAGUGAUUUGGUAGUUUGUGAAGUGAUUUUGGUCUUUGCGAAUCCUCUACUUAUUGGGGGGCAAUAGUAGUUGUCAAAGAACUCAUUUUCUUCUUUUUUGUUACGCUUAAUUGUUACUGAAGUUCAGUAAUAGUUGUUCAUAGUAACUUGUUUAUGUUUUGUGAAGUGAUUUUGGUCUUUGAGACCUCUCUAUGGGGGGGAAUAAAGGUUUAUUAGGGAGCAAUAAUGGUUUGAUUUUGUUUUGUUUUUUGGUUUUUUUAUGUAGGAAUAUGGAUGGUUCCUUGACUGUUAACUGCACUUAUUCUGGACAAGGUUUCAUGUUUUGUAUUAAUCAAUAAAUGAGCUAUGCUAAUUUGUUUGAAUACAUUUGUCAACGGUUCAAGUUUUUUACAGCUGAUGGUGUUGAGCUUCAGUACUCGCUUCCCGGAUGUGCUGUUUUUUUUUCUUCACAAUGAUAAUGAUUUCUAGAUGUUGUUUAGCAGUGCCAAGAUUUACAAGUUGAAUUGUGUUGAUAUUACGGUGUUGAAGAAUAGUGGAAGUUGCAGCAAAAAAGCUUAUGUUUCAUUUGGAGAUAGCUGCUCCAGUAUUAUGAAUGAAGAUGAUUACCUCACUGAGGCAUUUAGGACUGAAGUUCAGAUGUCUUACUUGUCGAAUGAGUGGUCUAGUUACAUUCAAUGUGUAGGGCAGAAAUUUUGUGGCGGUUCCUGUUAGGUCCAUAAUUAUCUAGAAAUGAUGGAGAAGCUUGGAAAUGCACUAAAAACUCAACUUUAGCACAUUUUCCUACUCCGGCUAGGAGAAACCGAGCUAGGCAAGGAAGGAGGAGCGGCAGACUGACCAAAUGAACUCCAAAUGCGUUGAAAAUUUCCAGAUCUAUUCUAGACAUCCUAAGGAUAAUUUAGUAUGAAGAGUGCAAGAGCUAGUUCGGAGUAGAAGGCCAUCAAAAUAUCGGUCCAAUUUUAUGACUAAAAGACGAAAACUGCAAAACCGGACCUGUACGGAUUCCGGCAGCAUUUCUGGCCAAACCACGGUGAAAUAAGUUCUGAAAUUUUACCAGGAUAAUCUAAACUCAUGGAGGAACAUUUAGUAUGAAGAAGUCAAAGGCCAAUUCCUAACUCUCGGUGGAGAUUCAAUAGAAGGAAGAAAGGAGAAGAAAGUGUGAAAACGGACAAAAAAUAGGUCAACGGUGGUCAACGCAGGAUUCCGAACAUUUCCGGCCGAGUUGGCCGGCUGAGAACAUGUGUGGAGGACAAGGAAGAGCUGACUAGGGUUAAAGACUUUAGGUUGAAAGACUUUAGGUCUAGGUUAUUUUGAAAUUCAAAAUUUGAAAGAUGACAAGUGGUCCUAUUCUUACACCUUACACCUUUGUCUCCCAUUUAUUACCUUGUUCCCUACACAAUGACCCUUCUACCCCUACUUUUUCUUCUCCACCAAAAUAUCUAUGGGCUUUGUAGGUCAUUUCUAUGUGGAGUCAAAAACUAGAUCCACAUUUUGUGCUUACAAAUUUGUCAAUCACAUCUAGCCCUUCAUUCCUUUUGAUCUCCACCCUUGAUUUGGAUUGCAUUGGCCUUUAAAUAGCCCUUCCUCUCUCCCAAAACUGUGCAUCCCCUUGGCUCCCUCAUUUUGGAGCAUCAAAAUCUCUCAUUUCUCUAGUUUUAGGUUAGUUUUUCAUAGCUUGUACAUAGUUCUGAGUUUGUGUGAGAAAUAAGUGUGUAGCAAACACUUGGGUUUCACCAAAACCGAAGUUACUACACACUCUAAAUCAAUCACAACACUUGCUUUCACACAUCCAAGCCUUUGUUCUUCUUUGUUCUUGAGUUUUGUGGAUGUGUAUGGUGUUUUGGGUUGUAAAACCGAAAAUCCCAUACCUUGAAGCAAUUCUCUCAUCAUUUGACAUCUUUGAGAGCUAGGUGGGAGGUUGGGUAGUUCUUCUCUUUUCUCCUCCUUCUCUCUUUAAUAUGAUGUUCAUGGCUUGUAUUUGUAAUAACAUGUGUUGUGAGUAGUUGGAUUUGGGGCUAGGGCUAGCUCUAGCCUAACUUAUGUGCAAAUAAUGU